rnacentral:rRNA from 1 species
AUUGGGCGUAAAGCGCGUCUAGGUGGUUAUGUAAGUCUGAUGUGAAAAUGCAGGGCUCAACUCUGUAUUGCGUUGGAAACUGCAUGACUAGAGUACUGGAGAGGUAAGCGGAACUACAAGUGUAGAGGUGAAAUUCGUAGAUAUUUGUAGGAAUGCCGAUGGGGAAGCCAGCUUACUGGACAGAUACUGACGCUAAAGCGCGAAAGCGUGGGUAGCAAACAGGAUUAGAUACCCUGGUAGUCCACGCCGUAAACGAUGAUUACUAGGUGUUGGGGGUCGAACCUCAGCGCCCAAGCUAACGCGAUAAGUAAUCCGCCUGGGGAGUACGUACGCAAGUAUGAAACUCAAAGGAAUUGACGGGGACCCGCACAAGCGGUGGAGCAUGUGGUUUAAUUCGACGCAACGCGAGGAACCUUACCAGCGUUUGACAGCUUAGGAAUGAGACAGAGAUGUUUCAGUGUCACUUCGGUGAAACCUAAGGACAGGUGGUGCAUGGCUGUCGUCAGCUCGUGUCGUGAG